GUCAGGAAAUGACAGAUCCAACGCUCCUGCUUGGGGCAGUGUGGAGGCCAGCGGAGGAACUGCAGGAGCCUAAAGGAGAUGGCACACAGGCCUGGCUCGGGAGAGCAGCCGUGAGACAAGGGGGCUCAUGAAAGACGGCGAGGGUGUGGGAGGAGAUGCCCCGGGCAGGGGCUUGGCGGUGUCUGGCACCAAACUUCCCAAAGCAGCUGCCUCUGUGGACUGUGCCUGGCAGGGAGGGAGCCACACCGGGAGUGACCCUAGACUCUGGCUCCCCAGGGGUGGCUGGAGGCAGUGUCUCCCACCCAUGUGGGCCUCCGGCUUGGGGUCCCCAGGGCUCUGCCCUGCUGCUGGCUGCACUGAGAGAGGUGGCCUUCUGAACGGGCCCUGUCCCCGGGGAGCCUCUGGUAAAGAGAUUCACCUGCACCCUCAAAACACACCAUGCCCAUUGGAGCCUCUGGGUGCAGGCUGCCCCUCAAACAGAGAAAACCACACGCUGUUUAAGACCCAAAACCAUGGAGACAGCCCCUCAUGCCCCCUUCUAUCUCCCCUUCUGUCCAGGGCCCCCUGCCUGCUCUGGUCCACCCCGUCCUGACCCCCUCUGCCUGUUCAUCUGAGGGCUGUGAGCCAAGGCCUGGGCCUGGCUGAGGGUCAGGGAUCCUGGGACCUGCUUGAGACCAUGCCCCAUAAGCUCCUUCGGCCAGAAGGCCAGCCAUGGAAACAGACCCCCACCCUGAGCCCGCAGUGUCAGCAACGCCCCGUCCUCACGGUGCUGGGCAGUGUCAGGCUGAGACCCGGGGCCACCUGCUCCAAUGGCCACUCCAAGCAAGCCAGAGCCAGGGGCUGCCAGCCUGCCCGUGUGCACACGUUAGCAGACAGGUUUCCUGGUAUGGCACACACGUGUAAUGACCAAGGCUGCUGCCCCCAGCCCAGAGUGCACUUCCGGGUAAUCCAGCACCUUGAGGCUUCACUGCUCUCCUGAGGGUUUUCUAAGAUUAAAUCUCCUUCACAAUAACAGCCUCCUGUCACCUGGGCCCUGGUGAUGAGGCCUUCGGAGAGGAAAGGACCCAUCCAGGGCAUUCACAGUGGGCGUGCUGUCCACCCUCCACCCCUGUCCUGGCCCCCGCAGUGGAGCUGCCACCUUGUGUAACAGGGGCUGCCUGAGGUCCUGGAGGAGGAAGAACCAGGUGGCCCACCUUCGGUGCACAGGGAGCAGCAGGCACCUGACGGCAGCCCCCACACCCCUCCCUGGGCUGAAGUUCAGGCUGUCUCAUCCCUUGCCAGGAGCUCAGGGCUGAGCUAGGAUGGCAGGGGAUGGGUUGAGGGUCUGUUGUCCAGCAGGUUGCCCCGGCCCCACCCAGGCCACUCAGAAAACACCUGCGAGAGCCCCACAGGCAUGCAGGGCACUGUCGUGAGCACACCAGUGGGGACAGACGUCCAGGCAGGAGGGAGCAGCCAGACCUCCAUGCCACCAGGGUCACCAGGCAUGUGAGGAAGCAGGAACAUGCACCCAGAAUAGAAGGAGCACCCAUCAAUGGAGCUGCCUCAGAAGCGACAGACGACCGGGCAAGUCCAAGGCACCGAGGCACCUGCCACCGCUGCGCCCGGCGCUCCCGAAGCCGGAAGGCAGGUUGAGGUUCAGAGAAGUCAGAAGCCUUCCCAAGGCUGCACAGCCAGAAGUGGGCACAGCGUCCUGGGGUGAGGCCUCACGCUCCCUGCACCACCUGCCCUCCAGCUCCAACCAUCCUCACAAAUUCAAGGCAAGGUUCUGGAACCCCCAGCCCUCCAGAAAGGGGAAGCUGAGCCCAGGAGGCACAUCCGAGAGUUCGGGUCCGUGAGUUUACCCUGCGCUCCCGCUGAUUCCUCCUGCAUCCUCUGUCGGGAUGUCUGGAUUCCAGAGUCCCCACCCUGAUUUUCCAACCUUGCCUCAGCCUUGGCUUCUCCCUUUUGGGGUGGGACAGGGAACCCCAGCAGCAGGCGUGUGAGGGCAUGAGAGGGCGGGAGGUGCCUUAUGCCUGCCCGCCAGACCAGGGCCCCAGCCCUGGACACAUGGAGACAGCGUGAGCGCUGUUCCUGCUCCCACUCCCUCAUCUGGGCAGGUGCUCCCAGGUACAGGUGCCGAGUCCCACCCAGAGGGGCCCUGCCACACCCAGAGGACUGACAAACCCAGACACAACUGUCUCUUCCCCCUGGUCAGGGUCUGGGCAAGGGUCCCUGUGGGCUGCUGUCCAAGCUGUGAGUGUCCAUGCUGUGGGCUGCUGUUGUGAGUGUCUGUGCCGUGGGCCGCUGUCGCGACUGUCCCCGCCGUGGCCCGCUGUCGCAAGUGUCCGUGCCGUGGGCUGCUGUUGUGUCUGUGCCGUGGGCCGCUGUCGCGAGUGUCCGUGCCGUGGGCUGCUGUCGUGACUGUGCCGUGGGCCGCUGUCACGAGUGUCCAUGCCGUGGGCCGCUGUCGCGAGUGUCCGUGCCGUGGGCCGCUGUCGCGAGUGUCCGUGCCGUGGCCCGCUGUCGUGAGUGUCCGUGCUGUGGCUCGGUAUGUGAGGUUGCGUUUCCAACAGGGAAUGAUUUGGCUUUGGUUACCUGAGGGUCUGAGGACAGGCACUAAAGCCCCACCUUUCUGGCUUCCAGAGUUGCCAGCUCCAGCAGCAGCCUCCAGGCCUGAGCAGGCUCUGGGGCUCCCACACCUGGGGGGCCAGGGUGGGGGUGACAAAGGGCCCCAGGCGACCGCUGAGAGCCGGCCCUGAGCCGACCCGGGCGGGCAGCAGGCCCUGGCAGCAUGAGCGAUGGCAGGCCCAGCGAUAAGAAACUAAUAAUUUAUGCUUCCAGCUCCCGGGGCCGGCGCCGAGGGAAGGCUGGGCCACAGCCUCCUCCGCACUGAGCGGCCGCAGUCCUUUAUUGCACGAAUUAUUAACGACCAGAGAAUGAAUGACUCUGUAAUCAGAUCAGGCUGCCAGCACUUUUCAUUGCGUUUAUUUGUAUAAAUUCUGAAGUCGGGGUCUGCCCUAAGCUCAGCAAGCCAGCCUCGUGCUGGCUGGGCGCCCAGGCCCCCACCCAGACGGAGCACCCGUCCCUCACCCUGCCCAUGGGUUCCAGAGGACAGAGGGCUCAGGAAGGGGUGCAGGGAACUGCUCUGAGCCAGAAGCCGAGUUCAUGGGCACCCAAAGCAGCCCUGGGCCAGGGUCAGAGCUCUGUCCUUGAACCUGCCUCAGGGAAGAUUCCCAACUGUUCUGAGCCAGGGGCACCCAGGGCUUGGGAGCUGAAGGGGGGGUGGGUCUGAGACCAGGAGAAGGCUCCCCAGCCCUGAGGGAACCCUCAUCACCCCCCUGCUCUCCUCGAUCCAGGAACCGUCCCAGGGUUGCCCCAGGCCUCCUGGCUCUCCCGCUUCCAUCCCGUAGGCUUCCCGGGAGCCCCAGGCUGGUCUCCCACCUGCCCCCUCCCUUUCUGGUCUUGCCUGGGCUGGGCCCAGGGGCUCUGGCUGUGGGUUUUCUGUGCAGCACCUCGCAGUGAGCCUGACGCUGGUCCUCUCCUGAGCCCCUGUUUAAUCUUAUUGACCUCUCGUUACCCUACAGCGCAUAAAUUCAGAUUUGGAGAUCUUAUGUUCCAUCAUAAAUUGGGCUGGCAGACUUCCGAUCAACAAGAUAAAGCUGUCUUCCGUGAGGCGGGUGUUUUAUUAAUCUUGGUCCCAGUGCUGCAGGUGUGGGCUGGGGAGUGCAGGAAGGAGGGGCCUCUGCUUGGGACCCUUCCUCCCUGGGCGAGGGGCUGAGUCCCUCCUGCUGCCCAGGCUGGGCCCCAGGUACCUGGCGAACAAAGGGACCCUGGAAUUGCCACCUUUCCCCUGCACCUUGGGCUCCAAAGAUGAUUUCAGCCAAUCCCUGCUGCCCAGCCUCGCCCACUCGCUUCUGGGGCCAUCCCCGGGGUCACACAGGGCUGUGCAGCAUGGCGGUCCUGUUCUCAUUCAGCCACCUGCACGGCCACCUCAGUGUGAUUCCUCAGCAGCCACACAGAAGACAGAUGGUCCAUAAGAGACUCAGAAACAGAGAAGCCUCACGCCAGGUCCACAGAGGCACCCACGCCCGCCAAAAGGAUGCCACGCACUCACCCUGCCCUCUGGGGAGCACAGUGGGAGUCCAGGACACCGCCUUGGAUGGGGUGAGGCUCCGUCUGUGACCUCAGAAAGUCAGUCUGGAGCUGGACUUGACAUGGGAAACAGAAUAAAACUGCCUGUCCACCUAAGCUUGCCGCCCUGAAAAUCCCUGACAUGACACAGAACUCAGUGCUGACAGAGGGCCUGCUGCCCCCAGUGACCCGGCCGGUGGGGUCUCAACCCACCCACUUCUUCUGGAGCAGCCGGUCACAGCUGUGGUCCUGCUGGGGCACACGGGGAUGAGAUCCUAAAAUACAUACCAACUGCACAGUGGAACCCUGCAUAUCCCAUUUAGGUACAAGUUUCAUUACCCGAAGAAACAUGGGGAGGGACCCCAGAACAGCUCACGCGUGGGUACCCUCCGCUGUGUUAGCGUCCCGGCCCUCACACGGCGCCCAGGCCUCGUGGGGGCAAGGCCUUGUGCAGACAUGGUAGGAUCUGCGUGUGCACUGGGGCCUGUGCCUGGGCUGCUGCUCCCCGGCCACCAGCGUCAGGAUCUCUAGGACCCCCAUGAGUGGUCAGUGGAGCAGAGAUGACACAGACGCCAGCGACGUGGGUCAUUCUCCACCUGGGAUGUGGGACCCCAGAGACCACUCCAUGGGUCUGUAUCUGCCUCUUCGUGCAGGAGCAGGUGUGACCCCUGCCUGCCCCAGCCAUGAGGCUCUGUCACAGGGGACCUCUGUGGCACCCUGUGCUGCAGGCAAGGCCUUAGGACAGACACCACGCCACUGAGCGUGAGACUGUCUCCUGAGACUGACCUCCCCUUGCACUGGGCAACGUCUGCUGAAGACAAGGACGUCUUCGCUGGGCCAGGCCUGGAGUUCUCCCACGUUGUGAGCUUUCCUCUCUCUGAUGAAGAGGAUACCUGUGGUCAGACUCCUACAGAGCACCAGGGACAGGAAGGCAGGCAGCAGGGCUGCCCAGGGCUAGGAGGCUGAGCUGCCCUGGGCGAGCCCCGGAGCCCACCUGGAGCUGUACCCAGUCUGGCUGUGAGCAGGGCCCACCCUCCCCUGGACACAGUGGAAGACCCCCUGCGUGUGGUCUUCACUAACUGACCACCUAUCUCGUGCCAGACUUGUGGGAUUGCUGGUGAAUUAACAAAAGCCCUGUUCUCAGGGGACUCCCAUCCCAGCACAUACACCGUCACAUCUGGGGUCCAGCCUGGACCACCCCCCCCAUGCAGUUGGAGAGGGUCUCAGAACCGGGUCUGAGAAUAGCGACUUCCAGCCACCGCACCCUGCCCCUCCCCAGCUGGCCUGGGCUCCAGCUCCUUGCACCUGAAGCUGUCUGUGCAGGGCCCCUGGCUGGUGCCCCUCUCCUCUGAAGCCUGGCAUCCUCAUUGGGCCUGUUAUGCGGGUUCUGGUCUCUCUGUGCCCACAGACCCGCCAAGCUCACCAGCUAGUCAAUGUGCAGCCAGCACAGCAAGAGCCCGACCCGCUGGGGCCCUCAGAACAAGCGGCGUGGCCCGAGGCCUUCACACAGCAUCUGUGCUGAGAGUGAGCUGAUGUGGACGGCGGCACUGUGGCCAUGGCAGAGGCACCAUUCCUCCACCCUCACUCACGUAGGGAUCUGCUCUUCUCUCGCACUGGGCCCUGCUGGCACAUUCCAGAUGUGGGGGACAGGGACUGGAGCCCAAGGCCUGCGUGCUGGGCCCUGGCUCUGCACUCGGCUCCCAGAGUCUCCGACCCAGUGUCAGAGAGGGUGCCGCAACAGUGCUUCGGGGGCUCCUGCCAUGAGCGCUGAGGACCACCUAGGCCCACGUCCACCCAGCAGGUGGCAGCUGCAUCCUCUGGUCCCCUCCACAACCCGGGCCAGGUCCAGGCUGCAGGCCGCAGUGUUGGCAGGGGGAGGAGAAGGUGAAAUUGGCUGAGCCCAUCCAUUGGGACAGACCCUCCCGCUCCUUGGGGUUCUGGAGAACUCUAUUCUUUCCCUUUGCUUAGCCUCAAGGUGCCGGGGCCUCUGGCUGCUGCACCAUUUACAGAGGAAUUGUCUGGGAUGUGCCGGUCCUAGCACUCUCUCUCUCGCUGGUGUGCGUGUCAGCACACUAGUGACAUGGCAGGUGAGGACCAUGGCACCGCCCCUGCGAUCUGGCAGUCAGAGCCCACCUGUGUGUCUGCAGGAGCAUCCCUGAUUACACACCACGGGAGGGCAGGGAAGGGUCCCCUGGGCCCCACCCCUUUGUUCUUUCAAUGGUAAAGGUUCAGGUCGGUGGACAGACUGGACUUGGAAACACCUUCUUGUGUCCUUGAAACGAUGUGGUGCACAGCCAGCUCACAGCACCCAAAGGCGCGGGCAAGUUGCAGUGCGGCAGCCCCUCCUGUCUGACCAGGAGCAGGUGCGUUCCUGAGGUCCUGGCCACUUCUGCAGGAGCAUCUGAGGGAGCCCAGCUGAUUUACCAUGACCCCUGACCUCCCGGGUUAGCCUUUCCGUCCAGCAGCACCAGGACUGGACCCUGGCACUGGACAGGCCACCUUGGCUGAGGAUCAUGUGUGCCUGGGUCUGUGCGGUGCUGCUGCCCGCAGGCCCUGGGUCUGUGUUGCGCGCAGGCCUUGGAAAGCAGUGCACAUCCUGUCUGCACCGGUGUCUGUGGUGAAGCCAUCUUUGUCCAUGUGGCCAUGGGAGGGUCUGUCUGUGCUGUGUGUGUGUCGUGCGCGAGUCGGGAGCUGCUGCGCCACACACAGGCACGCAGGGUGUGGGCACACCUGUGCUUCUGAGCACGCGUGCCCUUGCCGGUGGCCAGGCACACACACAGCUGUGCAUCCUUGGCCCGAGAUCAGCUGUGCCACACCUGCAGGCUGCAGGAUCUUUUCUGUAUAUCUCCCUCCACCACCAGAAGCAAGCUCAGGACUGAGGCUGACAGGCCGGCCUGAGCGCUGCUCACCUGCCCCUCCUGGCUGCACCUGUGGCCCUGGACUCGGCUUCCCCAUCUCUCUCCUCCCCACGCCACCUCUGGGUCAUCUCCGGCUGGGGCUGUACCACAUCUGGACUCAAUAAAUGGUUGAUUGAUUGAUGAGGGGAUGGAUGAGAAGGGCUUUAAGAGAAGUGCUGGGGAGCCUGGGCAGGCACUCCCGGAUGGCGGAGGCGGCGUGCGGGCUGGGGCAGCAGCCCCUGGCGCCCCAACACUCCCAGGACGUCUGGGGUCACCGUCUGCUCCAUGGCAGCCCCAGGGUUAUUUAUGACCUCCUCCCUCUGGUGGCGGGAGGCAGCGGCUCCAGCCUCAGCCCAGCGGCGGAGGGGCCCCAGCAGGGGGACCCGGAGCAGCGACAGAGGCACCAAGGCCCAGGCAGGCAGGGCUCGG